rnacentral:tRNA from 1 species
ACCUGGCUGGCUCAAUUGGUGGAGCAUGUGACUCUUGAUCUCUGGGUUGUGAGCACAAGCCCCAUGCUGGGUG